GUCAUGAUGGCCGAGCGGUCUAAGGCGCUGCGUUCAGGUCGCAGUCUCCAUUGGAGGCGUGGGUUCAAAUCCCACUUCUGACA
rnacentral:tRNA from 1 species